rnacentral:sRNA from 1 species
CGCGCGACUGGUCGGACAUCAACGGCAGCGGUAGCGGGAAAUCAGGUACUGUGGGAAAGCCUUGAGAUACCGGACAGGGUGGCGAAGUUAUCAGCCAGUUUUUUUGCAUUCAUGGUCGGU